GGGUCUGUUGUAAUAAAUUCAUCAAUUGAUCAUACUGUUGUCUGCUCAACCCUGGUAUCACAAAACUCUAGCCAUUUAUUUUUGGAACAGAUUGAUGGCUUUCAGGAGGAUUCCCUUGGGGAACAGACAUAUGUCCUUCAGAAUGAGGGAAAUCCAGACCAGCAGUAAGAUGAGCAGCAGCAGGUCUCCUCCCCUUGUUGAAAUUUGUACUUUGUGGAUACCCAUGGAUCUUGAAACACUUAUCAAUUAAGUGUCCAGAUUUUUUACAGUAUCUACAGAAUAAAGGCCCCCUGGCUUGAUCAAAAAUGACUCUUUGUCUAAAAAGAGAAGAAGGAUUAGGCAUUGUGGCCUUGUUAAAUCCAACUGUAUGCCUAUUAGUAUGGACAUUGAAAGAGACAGAGUCUGGAUUAAAGUGAGAAGGUGACUGGACUUAUCUUUGCUUCUCAUCAUUGAGGACCAUAUUAUAGACAUU
rnacentral:lncRNA from 1 species